AUUGAACGCUGGCGGCAUGCCUUACACAUGCAAGUCGAACGGUAACGGGCCUUCGGGUGCCGACGAGUGGCGAACGGGUGAGUAAUGCAUCGGAACGUACCUUUCAGUGGGGGAUAACGUAGCGAAAGUUACGCUAAUACUGCAUAUUCUGUGAGCAGGAAAGCAGGGGAUCGAAAGACCUUGCGCUGAUUGAGCGUCCGAUUUCAGAUUAGCUCGUUGGUGGGGUAAAGGGUCACCAAGGCGACGAUCUGUAGCGGGUCUGAGAGGAUGAUCCGCCACACUGGGACUGAGACACGGCCCAGACUCCUACGGGAGGCAGCAGUGGGGAAUUGUGGACAAUGGGGGCAACCCUGAUCCAGCCAUGCCGCGUGAGUGAAGAAGGCCUUCGGGUUGUAAAGCUCUUUCGGCCGGGAAGAAAUCGCACAGGCUAAUACCUUGUGUGGAUGACGGUACCGGAAUAAGAAGCACCGGCUAACUACGUGCCAGCAGCCGCCGUAAGAC
rnacentral:rRNA from 1 species